rfam:Otolemur garnettii contig002967, whole genome shotgun sequence.
ACCGGGCGUUGUGGUGGGCACCUGUGAUCUCAGCUACUUGGGAGGUGGAGGCAGGAGAAUCACUUGAGCCCAAGAGUUGGAGGUUGCUGUGAGCUGUGAUGCCAUGCCACUCUACCCAGGGGGAUAACUUGAGGUUGUGUCUCAAAAAAAAAAAAAGAAAACAUAGUAUUAAAAUUAUAUUCCACCUGUUUCUUUUUUACAUUUUUUUGAGACAGAGCCUCAAGCUGUCCCCCUGGGUAGAGUACCAUGGCAUCACAGCUCACUGCAACCUCCAAUCCUGGACUCAAGUGAUUCUCCUGCCUCCA